AGUGAACGCUGGCGGUAGGCCUAACACAUGCAAGUCGAACGGCAGCACAGUAAGAGCUUGCUCUUACGGGUGGCGAGUGGCGGACGAGUGAGGAAUACAUCGGAAUCUACUUUUUCGUGGGGGAUAACGUAGGGAAACUUACGCUAAUACCGCAUACGACCUACGGGUGAAAGCAGGGGACCUUCGGACCUUGCGCGAUUGAAUGAGCCGAUGUCGGAUUAGCUAGUUGGCGGGGUAAAGGCCCACCAAGGCGACGAUCCGUAGCUGGUCUGAGAGGAUGAUCGGCCACACUGGAAGUGAGACACGGUCCAGACUCCUACGGGAGGCAGCAGUGGGGAAUAUUGGACAAUGGGCGGAAGCCUGAUCCAGCCAUACCGCGUGGGUGAAGAAGGCCUUCGGGUUGUAAAGACCUUUUGUUGGGAAAGAAAAGCAGCAGGUUGAUACCCCGCUGUUCUGACGGUACCCAAAGAAUAAGCACCGGCUAACUUCGUG
rnacentral:rRNA from 1 species